rnacentral:rRNA from 1 species
UACGUAGGUGGCAAGCGUUGUCCGGAUUUACUGGGCGUAAAGAGCGCGCAGGCGACUGGAUAAGUCGAAUGUGAAAGCCCCCGGCUCAACUGGGGAGGGUCAUUCGAAACUGUCCAACUCGAAGGCAGGAGAGGGAAGCGGAAUUCCCGGUGUAGUGGUGAAAUGCGUAGAUAUCGGGAGGAACACCAGUGGCGAAGGCGGC